rnacentral:rRNA from 1 species
CCUACGGGCGGCAGCAGUGGGGAAUAUUGGACAAUGGGGGGAACCCUGAUCCAGCCAUGCCGCGUGUGUGAAGAAGGCCCUCGGGUUGUAAAGCACUUUCAGUGAGGAAGAACGCCUGGUGGUUAAUACCCAUCAGGAAAGACAUCACUCACAGAAGAAGCACCGGCUAACUCCGUGCCAGCAGCCGCGGUAAUACGGAGGGUGCGAGCGUUAAUCGGAAUUACUGGGCGUAAAGCGCGCGUAGGUGGCUUGAUAAGCCGGUUGUGAAAGCCCCGGGCUCAACCUGGGAACGGCAUCCGGAACUGUCAAGCUAGAGUGCAGGAGAGGAAGGUAGAAUUCCCGGUGUAGCGGUGAAAUGCGUAGAGAUCGGGAGGAAUACCAGUGGUGAAGGCGGCCUUCUGGACUGACACUGACACUGAGGUGCGAAAGCGUGGGUAGCAAACAGGAUUAGAUACCCCUGUAGUC